rnacentral:rRNA from 1 species
CCUUACCUACCCUUGACAUGUCAAGAAUUCUGCAGAGAUGUGGAAGUGCUCGAAAGAGAACUUGAACACAGGUGCUGCAUGGCCGUCGUCAGCUCGUGUCGUGAGAUGUUGGGUUAAGUCCCGCAACGAGCGCAACCCUUGUCAUUAGUUGCUACGCAAGAGCACUCUAAUGAGACUGCCGGUGACAAACCGGAGGAAGGUGGGGAUGACGUCAGGUCCUCAUGGCCCUUAUGGGUAGGGCUACACACGUCAUACAAUGGCCGGUACAGAGGGCUGCCAACCCGCGAGGGGGAGCCAAUCCCAGAAAACCGGUCGUAGUCCGGAUCGUAGUCUGCAACUCGACUGCGUGAAGUCGGAAUCGCUAGUAAUCGCGGAUCAGCUUGCCGCGGUGAAUACGUUCCCGGGUCUUGUACACACCGCCCGUCACACCAUGGGAG